CCCGGCCUAUCAGCUUGUUGGAGAGGUAACGGCUCACCAAGGCAUCGACGGGUAGCUGGUCUGAGAGGAUGAUCAGCCACACUGGGACUGAGACACGGCCCGACUCCUACGGGAGGCAGCAGUGGGGAAUCUUGCACAAUGGGCGAAAGCCUGAUGCAGCAACGCCGCGUGCGGGAUGAAGGCCCUAGGGUUGUAAACCGCUUUCAGUAGGGAAGAAAAUGACGGUACCUACAGAAGAAGGUGCGGCCAAUUACGUGCCAGCAGCCGCGGUGACACGUAGGCACCAAGCGUUAUCCGGAUUUAUUGGGCGUAAAGAGCUCGUAGGCGGUUUGGUAAGUCGGGUGUGAAAACUCUGGGCUCAACCCAGAGAGGCCACCCGAUACUGCUAUGACUAGAGUACGGUAGGGGAGCGGGGAAUUCAUGGUGUAGCGGUGAAAUGCGCAGAUAUCAUGAGGAACACCAGCGGCGAAGGCGCCGCUCUGGGCCGUAACUGACGCUGAGGAGCGAAAGCAUGGGUAGCAAACAGGAUUAGAUACCCUGGUAGUCCAUGCCGUAAACGUUGGGCACUAGGUGUGGGUCUCAACCAACGAGAUCCGCGCCGUCGCUAACGCAUUAAGUGCCCCGCCUGGGGAGUACGG
rnacentral:rRNA from 1 species